UUUCAUCAGAAGAAAAACCUUCUAGAAUAUUUUUUUUUAAUAGAAAAAUUACAACAAGGAUGGAGUUAUUUCACAGCCCUUUCUUUUUUCUUUUUUGCUAUAAGCCAUUUUAAUCCCCACCUAAGCAUUACUGCAUUAGCAUUCAUUUCCACAAACAUCUAUUGCGCAGUAUACCACAGUUCAAUUUUAAAACGCAAAAUUCCCCAAAACCCUUGCUUUCAUUCACUGUUCUCCGUUGGUCUGUGUAAUUCCACACCUUAAAAAUGCAAACUUUGAACUAAAAGAAACAAAAAGAUAGCAUUUUGGUGUAGAAACAACUGCUUCAAGCUCAAGCACCUUCCAAAUCAAAUUGUUCAAAAACAAUACCUUGCCAUACCAAAUGCUUCUUCUAACAAUUCGAAUGCUCCACACCACACACCAACCCAUGUGUUGUAGAAAAGCCUUGCUGGGUAAUCCACAGUGGAUCCAUUAGUUUUUGCAACAAUUUCAGGUUAGGUCAGAUUCAAUUAUUUGUGCUAUGGUGUAGCUUGUGGAUCACUUGGAAUUUGGUGAGAAUGCCUCAUUGUAUUUCUUUUUUUGGAGGUGGUACUAAUGGGUAGUAAUUCAAUUCAGGUUAUAAGAGUGAAGUGGUGUUUAGGUAAUGGAUGCAGAGUGAAUGGUAAUGAUAUGAGGGUGUGAAUUGUUAGUUAUCUUGGGCAUAAAAAAGAAAACUUUUUUUUGGAGGGAGGGAGUUGUUAUAUUAAGAUUUGGAUGAUAUAUAUGAUGAAUUCUUGAAAUUUCAGGCUGCAAAGAAUGAUAAGGACUCAAAUGGGUCACAUUUGAAUGGACAAAUCCAAGCCCUUGUUGAUAUGCUUGUGGCAGAGGAAGGUAUAUCACUUGGGAGUGUUUUGUAAUAGGUUUCUUGUAUAUGUCCAUGUUACAACGUCUCUUGAUGGUUUUGAGAUUUGAUGUUUAGUUCAAAAAGUGUCGCAUUCUUAUACUUGCUAUGCAUGUAAAAUAAAAUGAUGAUUACAUUGUAAAAUGUAGAAAAUUCAAAUAGGGUGGAGAUGCUUUUUGUCGUCACAAGAGAAGGAAUAUUAGUGUUCAGCCUACCGUGACUGUUUAUUUUUUCUCAGCAGGGCAAUGCAAAUACAAACUACGACUUCCAUUAUAGAAGAAGAGGAAGGGGAGGGGAGGGGGCGGGGGGAGUAGACAAUGCUAUAACAAACUACACACUGUAUCUUACUAGGAAAUAAUCACAAGAACCUACCAUCAGUCUUUGUGAUUCCGUGAAGCUAUCUACCCAUUAGGAGAGACAGGUUCUAAGAUUUUCAGUCAUCAUAUAACAGAUCGAAUGCUAUGGUGGUAUUGAGCCAGGUUUACCGUUUACUGCCUUACGUGUAGAUGACCAAUGUGAAAAUGAAAAGGAGGACUGAAAUGAGUUAAUCUAAAGUGUUGUACUUCAAUGAAAUCUUGAGCCAGGUUUAACUAACUGAUAAACUGUACUUGAGGAAGAUCAGAAUUCUGUGUAUUUUGGGCAAUCUAAGAGUAUGGUAGACUUUUGUUAAAAGAUGCAAGAUUUGGGGGCUGAGUAAAUUACAAUUAUGCAUUUCAUAAGACAUGAUAUAUCAUAUAUGUAAAUAAGGUUGUUUAUAGAUGUAGCUUGAGUGACACAUUUAGCAACUUUGCAACUCACAGUUGUCAUCUAGUCUAACCUUGGUAAUUCGACUAUCAAGUUCGGAGUUCAUAAAUUAAUUGGGAAGAUAUGCAAAUUAUUCUGGAAAUGAUAAAUAGUUUUUGGAUGGAAAUAUUGAUGCUUAACUUUGACUGAAAGGAGAAUUCCUUUUUUAUUUUCGUUUUCUUGUGCUUUUGUUCAUGCAUGUGUAUGGUUCUGGGGUUCAUGACUUGAAAACUUGAUCAUAGAAAUCACACAAUUGUAAAGUUCCAAAUUUUAUUUAUUUAUUAUUAUUAUUUUUUUUUUUUUUUGUGGUGGGGGUGGUAAAUUUUCAUUUAUGAAGCAAGGAGAAAAGGAAAAUAGAAAAAGUUCAAUUAGAUUGGACCUUGUGCAUACUAGAUAGUUGGAUUGAGAUUCUUCACUUAUGUAAAUAUUUCUCAUUCCUGUAGGAGGAACUAUAACUUUGUAAGUUAAAUAUUUUUGGUCCUGUACAUCUAAAUCUUGUUCGUUAUUGUUAUUAUAGUUUUAAUUUUGGGAUGCACUGAUUAUGCAAUUUGAGGUGACUUUGCAAAAAGGAGAUUGCAAAAAAGUUCACAUUUUAAGGGAAAACUCAAAACUGUAAGUUUUUUCUUUGAAUACCCGCUUCUUAUUUUCCUAGUGCCAUACCAUUGAUACUUCCUGAAACUCAUCUUAUCUGUUUCGGAUUUCAUAUCUUGAAUCAUAAAAGAGCUUGAAAAUAUGGACACAUUUAAAAAAAGAAAAAGAAAAA